GAUGAACGCUGGCGGCGUGCCUAAUACAUGCAAGUCGAGCGAACGGACGAGAAGCUUGCUUCUCUGAUGUUAGCGGCGGACGGGUGAGUAACACGUGGAUAACCUACCUAUAAGACUGGGAUAACUUCGGGAAACCGGAGCUAAUACCGGAUAAUAUUUUGAACCGCAUGGUUCAAAAGUGAAAGACGGUCUUGCUGUCACUUAUAGAUGGAUCCGCGCUGCAUUAGCUAGUUGGUAAGGUAACGGCUUACCAAGGCAACGAUGCAUAGCCGACCUGAGAGGGUGAUCGGCCACACUGGAACUGAGACACGGUCCAGACUCCUACGGGAGGCAGCAGUAGGGAAUCUUCCGCAAUGGGCGAAAGCCUGACGGAGCAACGCCGCGUGAGUGAUGAAGGUCUUCGGAUUGUAAAACUCUGUUAUUAGGGAAGAACAUAUGUGUAAGUAACUGUGCACAUCUUGACGGUACCUAAUCAGAAAGCCACGGCUAACUACGUGCCAGCAGCCGCGGUAAUACGUAGGUGGCAAGCGUUAUCCGGAAUUAUUGGGCGUAAAGCGCGCGUAGGCGGUUUUUUAAGUCUGAUGUGAAAGCCCACGGCUCAACCGUGGAGGGUCAUUGGAAACUGGAAAACUUGAGUGCAGAAGAGGAAAGUGGAAUUCCAUGUGUAGCGGUGAAAUGCGCAGAGAUAUGGAGGAACACCAGUGGCGAAGGCGACUUUCUGGUCUGUAACUGACGCUGAUGUGCGAAAGCGUGGGGAUCAAACAGGAUUAGAUACCCUGGUAGUCCACGCCGUAAACGAUGAGUGCUAAGUGUUAGGGGGUUUCCGCCCCUUAGUGCUGCAGCUAACGCAUUAAGCACUCCGCCUGGGGAGUACGACCGCAAGGUUGAAACUCAAAGGAAUUGACGGGGACCCGCACAAGCGGUGGAGCAUGUGGUUUAAUUCGAAGCAACGCGAAGAACCUUACCAAAUCUUGACAUCCUUUGACAACUCUAGAGAUAGAGCUUUCCCCUUCGGGGGACAAAGUGACAGGUGGUGCAUGGUUGUCGUCAGCUCGUGUCGUGAGAUGUUGGGUUAAGUCCCGCAACGAGCGCAACCCUUAAGCUUAGUUGCCAUCAUUAAGUUGGGCACUCUAAGUUGACUGCCGGUGACAAGCCGGAGGAAGGUGGGGAUGACGUCAAAUCAUCAUGCCCCUUAUGAUUUGGGCUACACACGUGCUACAAUGGACAAUACAAAGGGCAGCGAAACCGUGAGGUCAAGCAAAUCCCAUAAAGUUGUUCUCAGUUCGGAUUGUAGUCUGCAACUCGACUACAUGAAGCUGGAAUCGCUAGUAAUCGUAGAUCAGCAUGCUACGGUGAAUACGUUCCCGGGUCU
rnacentral:rRNA from 1 species